GAAGAAAAUAUUUAUUCGUAAGAAAAGUGAAAACAAGAAAAAUAAAUAAAUUUCAAUCACUUCUCUUUAAAAAAAUCCUUUGAAACGACGUCGUUUCAUCGAAGAGCGCGCAGCACAAGCACACGAUGAAGAAAAGGGGUCAUAAGCGAUAAACUUCUGAGAAAGAUCGAAACAGAACAACGAAAAUGUUGCGAUCACUGACUCUUAAACCCUCUUCCUUACUUUCCAAAUUCAAUUUCAACCCGAGUCCUUUUCGGAGUAGAGUUGUCACCACGCAAGCAUUCUCCUCCGCCGUGUCACCGCCAUCGAAGGCGAUCGUAUACGAGGCGCACGGCCAACCAGACGCGGUGACGAAACUGGUAACCAUUCCGGGUAAGGAAUUGAAAGAGAACGAUGUGUGCGUCAAGAUGCUGGCUGCUCCGAUAAACCCUUCCGAUAUCAACAGGAUACAAGGUGUGUAUCCUGUGCGGCCAGAACCACCUGCAAUUGGUGGCUAUGAAGGCGUCGGAGAGGUUUACUCCGUUGGAUCCGCCGUAACGUCUUUCUCUCCCGGCGAUUGGGUUAUUCCCUCUCCACCUUCUUCCGGGACAUGGCAGACAUAUAUUGUGAAGGAUCAGAAUGUGUGGCACAAGGUUAACAAGGGUGUGCCUAUGGAAUAUGCUGCUACUAUUACUGUUAAUCCUCUCACUGCUCUUCUCAUGCUUGAAGAUUGCAUUACUUUGAACUCAGGGGAUGCUAUUGUGCAAAACGGGGCAACCAGCAUGGUUGGCCAGUGUGUCAUUCAGCUGGCAAAAUCUCGUGGCAUUCACAGCAUUAAUAUUAUACGGGACAGGCCUGGGGUUGAUGAAGUUAAAGAAAGACUUAAGCAUUUGGGUGCUGAUGAAGUUUUCACGGAGAAUGAAUUGGAAGUGAAGAAUGUCAAGAGUCUUCUGGAUGGUAUCCCUGAACCUGCGCUGGGAUUUAACUGCGUUGGUGGCAAUUCUGCUUCUCUGGUUCUCAAAUUUUUAAGACGGGGAGGAACUAUGGUGACAUAUGGUGGAAUGUCUAAAAAACCUGUCACUGUAUCAACUUCAUCCUUCAUAUUUAAGCAACAUGCGUACAUUAGGACCAGACGGGAGGCCUACUAGCCGACGCCGCCACCGCGAUGAAGCUGGUCCCUCUACCCCACUACAAGAGCCACCACCGGAGCCACCACUGGAGCCACCCCAGGAGCCACCACAGCCAGCUGGAUAUCCUAGAGGACCUUCAGAUCUAUCAUUACUUCUUCGAUACUAGGACCAUGUUGCUCGCCGUUUAUGGUACGGACAGGUAAGUAAAAUUAAUUAAUUAAUUUUAAAAAUAAUUGAUUAUUAUAUUUUCUAAUGUGAUUUUUUUAUUUAUUUUCAGGAAAGAGGUACUAAAAAGGAGCUUUAAGUUGCAGGACAUGGGACGAAGCUUCAGGAAAGAGUGCCUCAGAUGCUCCCACCAGAGAUGGAGGUUAUCGUGAGUGGGUCAGGUCUGUCUUCUCUUCAGAGAACUAGCCUGACCAAGAUAGACGUUAACCUUGUCUCAGCAUUUGUGGAGAGGUGGCAUAUUGAGACAUCGUCAUUUCACAUGCCAUUUGGUGAGAUGACGAUUACAUUAGAUGAUGUUGCCAGUCUGCUGCAUUUGCCUGUCGGGGGUAUGUUCUGGUAUCCUGAGGAGCAUGUCACAGAGAAGAUGACUGUUGAUCUUGGCAGGCAGUACUUGGGAGUGGAUAGGGAUGUCAUGGCUCAUCAUGUGCGUUCAUGCAGGUGAGCUUAUUAUUCACUGCAGUGGUUGCAUGAUAGAUUCGUGGAGUACCGUGCUGCUGGUAGCUGGGCUUUUGCGACCAGGGCAUAUUUGAUGAUGUUGGUAGGUUCUACUAUUUUUGCAAUAUUUACUCUGGUCGAGGCCCGGUAUUUGCUACUGUUUAGAGACCUACGUGUGCUUAGUUCCUACAGUUGGGCAUCUGCUGCACUGGUCACUCUUUAUCGGCACCUUGGGGAUGCAUCUAUGUUUAGUUGCAAGCAGCUCGGUGGAUAUCCUACUCUGCUACAGUGUUGGAUACAUGAGUACUUUCCUACACUAGGAAGGAAAGGAGAAAACUGGCGCCCAUCUGACAAUCAAGGGCUUUCGCGGGCGAUGAGAUGGUCCUACAGGCAAGGAGCCAUGAAGGUGGAUGAGUUUAGACCGGUAUUGGACCAGCUGGCACCUACAGACGUCAUAUGGCGCCCAUUCGAGGAUCAUAGACAUCAUCGUGCUUUUAACGAGUUAUCAACUCUGUACAGAGGUUUUCUUGUUUGGGGUGACUUACAUGUGCCAUACUUACCCGACAGGUGUCUUCGUCAGUUUGGUUAUCACCAGUAUAUUCUGCCUGCACCUCCUGCUGAUACGCUCAGCAAUGAUGACAUUGCUGUGGAGUGGAUUGCCUAUUACCAGAGCGUGCCAGAUGUGGUUAGAGAUACCGAGUCAGUCAGAUACCCUCAUGAGACGGUUGAUGGAUAUUUACAAUGGUAUUACCGCGUGUCGCAUCCUCAGGUGGUGGCGCCCCCACCUCGUGCCCGUAGAGAGGUUACAGUUCCUGUGUUUGAUGCAGGACCAUCUGAUCCGCAUUGGGCUCAUGCCUCCACAUUGGUUCACCGUUAUCUCCGGCAGGUAGAGGCGGAGGAGGAGGAUGUAGCGUAUGCUGAUUUAUUUGAGGAACUUUCCUUGAGGGGUUUCUGGUUGCAGAAUUGGUUGAGCACAGAUAAAGCUGAAGAGGGCAGAAGAAUGAUAGACAGGCUUUUGGGUCUUGUACAAGAUGGAAAGUUAAAAUACAAG